rnacentral:rRNA from 1 species
UAAACGUCCCAGUUCGGAUUGCAGGCUGCAACCCGCCUGCAUGAAGCUGGAAUCGCUAGUAAUCGCGGAUCAGAAUGCCGCGGUGAAUACGUUCCCGGGUCUUGUACACACCGCCCGUCACACCAUGGGAGUCGGUAACGCCCGAAGUCAGUGACCCAACCGGAAGGAGGGAGCUGCCGAAGGCGGGACUGGUAACUGGGGUGAAGUCGUAACAAGGUAAC